UCCAAGUGGGAGCUGAGCGUUGAGAUCCGGGCGAGAAGGCCUGGAUGUCUAAGUUCCAAGAGCGGGGAGGGAACCAUGUGAGGCUGGUUUCACAAUGCACCACAUGAGGUUGCUUUUACAGUGCUCCAUCUCCUCUCGCUCCCGUCGGUGGA
rnacentral:SRP_RNA from 11 species